CCCUUAGAUGUUCUGGGCCGCACGCGCGCUACACUGAUGCAAUCAACGAGUUUACAACCUUGGCCGAGAGGCCUGGGUAAUCUUUUUAAACUGCAUCGUGAUGGGGAUAGAUUAUUGCAAUUAUUAAUCUUCAACGAGGAAUUCCUAGUAAACGCGAGUCAUCAGCUCGCAUUGAUUACGUCCCUGCCCUUUGUACACACCGCCCGUCGCACCUACCGAUUGAGUGGUCCGGUGAGGCUUUGGGAUCUGAGCGGAAAGAGCGUUUCGCUGUUUCUGCUCGGAAAACUCAGUCGAACCUUAUCAUUUAGAGGAAGGAGAAGUCGUAACA
rnacentral:rRNA from 1 species